CCCCUCUCAGGAUCACACCUGGAGAGUUUCCAGGACUCUACCAGCUUCGACUAUGGGAAGGAGAGUCAGGCAGAGAUGUAUCCAUUCCACUCCGAGCUUGGGCAGUGGCUAGCGAGUGGAAGGCAAUCUGCUACAAGU
rfam:Ornithorhynchus anatinus chromosome 7, whole genome shotgun sequence.